rnacentral:rRNA from 1 species
GGAUGAACGCUAGCGACAGGCUUAACACAUGCAAGUCGAGGGGCAGCACAGGUAGCAAUACCGGGUGGCGACCGGCGCACGGGUGAGUAACGCGUAUGCAACUUACCUAUCAGAGGGGGAUAACCCGGCGAAAGUCGGACUAAUACCGCAUGAAGCAGGGGCCCCGCAUGGGGAUAUUUGCUAAAGAUUCAUCGCUGAUAGAUAGGCAUGCGUUCCAUUAGGCAGUUGGCGGGGUAACGGCCCACCAAACCGACGAUGGAUAGGGGUUCUGAGAGGAAGGUCCCCCACAUUGGUACUGAGACACGGACCAAACUCCUACGGGAGGCAGCAGUGAGGAAUAUUGGUCAAUGGGCGUAAGCCUGAACCAGCCAAGUCGCGUGAGGGAUGAAGGCUCUAUGGAUCGUAAACCUCUUUUAUAAGGGAAUAAAGUGCGGGACGUGUCCCGUUUUGUAUGUACCUUAUGAAUAAGGAUCGGCUAACUCCGUGCCAGCAGCCGCGGUAAU